GACAGGAAAUGUGUCGUUCUUAGCUGCUGUUCUGUGCAGAGCCAAAGCCAUAUCUCCUCAGACUUCAUCACCAGCUGCAUCACGAUUCAAACGCUCGACCAACAACUCGAUCAACAACAUCUCCCGGCUGAGCUCAGAUUGGGCGUGCAACUUUACAGAUUCCAAAAUGUACCAUAUUAUGUGCUUCAUUCUGCUUGUGAGUCUGGAAGGACUUAAAGCUAAUGUCAAUAAUACUUUAGGAUCUCAUAUGACCACGAGUGCUAACGUCACUGAAGCAAAUAAUUCCAUAAGCAGUUUGUCAACAGCAUCAACCCAAACAUCUACCAGCCUUGCACCUAUAACGACGAGCACAACUCUCAGCACCACAAAGGAAAAGCAACGUACAACUAAGGUUACUCAAAACAAGACUGCCUAAUCGAUCUGGGGAACAAGAAGGAAAUGACACUAUGGAUGAUGAUUGCAUUACUUGGGCUAAUCAGCUUUUUGCUGCUGGUGAUUAUUCUGUGCAUGGCCUGCAAAUGUUCCCAAGGCACCAGGAAGGGCGAACUGGUUUUGAUGAAAUCAUCCACAAGAACCAAGAAAAACAGUGUAAAUGGAGGGCCUUCUGAAAAUGAAGUAAUGUUAAAGGAAUGCAGCUCGGUGAAAGUGGAGGUUGAGACAACUCCAGAUGAGAACCAGGAGCCAGAAGAGGAGGGCGGAGCAGCUGCCAACAUGGAAAACCAAGCCUCCGGUGAUGAGAACAAAAAUUCUGACAAUGACAUCAGCAAGGCCACACUCACCCAAGAAGCCGAACAAUCUGACAAAACAGAUCAUGCGAUAGAAGAUCUGGAAAACGCAGGCUAGAAAGCAUCCUGGCAUUACCAAUCCAUCAUCACUUUGAUUGGUGAUAGAAAUUCAUUGAAUCCUUCCUUGUAUCCAUGUAGUUUCACUUUUUUUUCUGGGCAACCAAUUUAUUAGAACUUUGUGCCAAAUUUAGACAUGACAGCCUUGUUUAUAAGUAUGCAUGUAUAUAAACAUAUGUGUGUGUCUGUGUGUGUGGGUGUGAUAUGAUGCAACAAGUGCUAUGUUGAAUAUUUAACUGUCACAAGUUUAGUGAAAAUGAAUACUGACAGUUGAGAACAUGAGCUUAUCUAUUUUUCAAAUGUUAUUUUGGAAGGCAAAAAAAGGAUAAAUAAAUAAAAUAAAUAAAAGGUC